UCGAGAAUUUUUCACAAUGGGCGAAAGCCUGAUGGAGCGACGCCGCGUGGGGGAUGAAUGGCUUCGGCCCGUAAACCCCUGUCAUUUGCGAACAAACCUUGCCUAUAAACAAUAAGCAAGCUGAUUGUAGCGAAAGAGGAAGGGACGGCUAACUCUGUGCCAGCAGCCGCGGUAAUACAGAGGUCCCAAGCGUUGUUCGGAUUUACUGGGCGUAAAGGGUGCGUAGGUGGUGAGGUAAGUUUGAUGUGAA
rnacentral:rRNA from 1 species